GACGAACGCUGGCGGCGUGCUUAACACAUGCAAGUCGAGCGGAGCGGCGAACGGGUGAGUAAAGCGUGAGUAACUGCCCCCCUCUCUGGGAUAACAGUUGGAAACGGCUGCUAAUACCGGCUAGUGGGUGCUGACUCGCGUCCUAUCAGCUUGUUGGUGGGGUAGUGGCCUACCAAGGCGACGCCGGGUAGUCGGCCUGAGAGGGUGACCGUCCACAUUGGGCUGGUAUACGGCCCAGACUCCUUGUGGAGGGAGCAGUGGGGGAUAGUGCACAAUGGGCGAAAGCCUGAUGCAGCGACGCCGCGUGGGGGAUGAAGGCGUUCGGGUUGUAAACCUCUUUCGCUAUCGAAAGGGUAGGUGGAGAAGAAGCGCCGGCGAACUACGUGCCAGCAGCCGCGGUAAUUC
rnacentral:rRNA from 1 species